UUGGAGGGCAAGUCUGGUGCCAGCAGCCGCGGUAAUUCCAGCUCCAAUAGCGUAUAUUAAAGUUGUUGCAGUUAAAGAGCUCGUAGUUGAAUUUCGGGAUCAGAUUGUCGGUCGUGCCUCGGUACGCACUGGUAUUAUUGGUUCCUACCUUCUGAAGAACCGCGAUGUCAUUAAUUUGGUGUCGUGGGGAAUCAGGACUGUUACUUUGAAAAAAUUAGAGUGUUCAAAGCAGGCUUACGCUUGAAUACAUUAGCAUGGAAUAGUGAAAUAGGACGUUUGAUUCUAUUUUGUUGGUUUCUAGGAUUGACGUAAUGAUUAAUAGGGAUAGUUGGGGGCAUUAGUAUUCAAUUGUCAGAGGUGAAAUUCUUGGAUUUAUUGAAGACUAACUACUGCGAAAGCAUUUGCCAAGGAUGUUUUCAUUAAUCAAGAACGAAAGUUAGGGGAUCGAAGACGAUCAGAUACCGUCGUAGUCUUAACCAUAAACUAUGCCGACUAGGGAUCGGAUGAUGUUAAUUUUUUAAUGACUCAUUCGGCGCCUUACGGGAAACCAAAGUGUUUGGGUUC
rnacentral:rRNA from 1 species